UACAGAGGUCCCGAGCGUUGUUCGGAUUCAUUGGGCGUAAAGGGUGCGUAGGUGGCGCCGUAAGUGGGGUGUGAAAUCCCGGGGCUUAACCCCGGGACUGCAUUCCAUACUGCGGUGCUUGAGGACUGGAGAGGAGACUGGAAUUUACGGUGUAGCAGUGAAAUGCGUAGAGAUCGUAAGGAAGACCAGUGGCGAAGGCGGGGCUCUGGACAGUUCCUGACACUGAGGCACGAAGGCCAGGGGAGCAAACGGG
rnacentral:rRNA from 1 species